CACGUCUCUUCCUCGUCCCUAUCCAUUCUCUCUCCCUCUCUCGUAUGCGACCGCCUUCCUCAACCGAAGCUGCAGCUCCUUCUUCAUUCGAUUUUUCUCUCUGCCGUGUCUUCAUCCUUCGCCAGCAUCAUCAUCAAUUCCUUCCCCCACUCACAGGAAUCCACCUCCACCGAAGUCUUCGCUCAACGCCACACGCCUGUUUUCCUUUCCGCCGAUCAACUAUGGCAACUUGUGCCCACGUUGUUGACCCCAAAACCCCACCAAUUCUCCACCUUGCUGCCACACCGAAGUAACUCCACCGACUCUUGUCACCAGCACACUCUUCCGGUCAACAAACCUAUGCACGAAGCCUCUUGUUGACCCUACAGUAGCCGGUUUCGUCCACGCGUCUUCCUCAGUCUCGCGUCUCCAUCUUUUACUGCCAGCAUCGCCCGAAACUGCUUCUCUCUCUCCAUCAUCCUUGCAUCUUCAGUCCUCGAAUCCAGCUCGUGUCUUCGGCAAGUAAACGCCAGCGACGUCGUCCACGCUCGAGCGACACCAGCAGCUCCUGCACGCCUUCUUGUUCGGCCCAUCCCACCGAAGCAGCCCAACUUCCAGUCCAUUUGAGGCCCGUGUCAGCAGCCCAAGAGGUCAGCGAAGCCCAGCAGUUCUUUUAUUGUUCGGCCCAGUAGUCCAGCCUUUGAAGCCCACGGAUCCAGCGAAUUCUUCAGCCCAGUGAUUUUCAGUCCAUCUCCAGCAGAUCCAGCAGCCCAAGCCCGCGAGGUCAGCCGCUUCAAGCCCGGCCCGUUUCAAAAAAAAAACAAAUCUCAGAUUUGAGCUGAGAUUUAUUGGGCCCGUUUUAGGCCCGGCCCGAGUGUUCGCCGACGCCGCUGAAAAUUCGGAUUUCGGCCGUCGUCGCGGUGUACCGGUUUCCACAAUUAACCAGGUCGUCGAGUGGAGGACCUAGAGGACCUGGAGCUGAGAGGAGGUGAUCGAAAGCGUAAGUCACUUAGGACUGCUUCUUUUGGAAGGCUAGUCUUUUGUAGUCUUUUAGCGAUAAACUUUUGUACAUGACUCAAUGUAUAUAUAAAAGCAUGUUUGUUUCGUGAAUUCGUAUCAUGCUUUUCUAUCUUUAGAUGAUUACUGUCAGGGGAUUUUUUUUCGCUUCUACAUGUGCAAAAAAAUGGAAAGGGUCGGCGACUCAUCCUGGGAAGUCAUAAAAUUUUAUCGACCAGAGAGAGAUGGGCACGCGCUCAAGUUUGAGGCGUGACAAAAAAAGUGAGGAACCUUUUACAUUGGAUGUCGCAUAGCCAAUCCUAAAGGAAGGCCCAUCUUUGUGCAAGUGGUCAUGCAUGACGUUUCUGCAGAAGUCGACAAGUGACUAAAUUGCCUCUUUCAAUGAUGGUCCUACAGCUUGCAGGCUUGACGAAGACGUAAGAGAUCAUGUAAUCUCGACUAGAAGACGUACCUAUUCCUCUCAUCUUUCGGGUCGCCAUAUAAGCAAUAUUUGAGUGGAAAGAAAUCCAACUUGUCUUUCUCUCGUCCCCCCCAAAACCCCUCCUUAUAUAUUUGUCCCAGCUUUGAAGUCUUUAAACAAACCUCAGCUUUCAAAAGUCAACAGCGUCUCUACUAAAUCUUUCUCGCGCUUCACCGGCCUCAUUCCUAUAUACGUUCUUGUUUGCAGAAAGUUCUCCUGUGUGGCCAAAUGGGUAGUGAAAGCCAUCAGCUUCACAUUUUCUUCUUCCCUUUCAUGGCUCCGGGCCACAUGAUCCCAAUGAUCGACAUGGCCAAAAUGUUCGCCAUGAGAGGCUGCAAGUCCACCCUCAUCGCCACCCCCCAUGACGAGCCCACCUUCUUGAGAUCUAUCGCGAAAACCAAGGAUUCGGGCUUUGACAUCAAUGUCGUCACGGUGACAUUGCCCCUGAAAGACGUCGGCUUGCCAGAAGACUGCGGCAGUCUGAGCAAGAUCACUACGAUGGAAAUGCGCAUGACGUUCAUAAGAGCUGUCAUGAUGCUCGACCGACAGAUCGAGCUGCUGAUAGAGAAACUCGCCCCCGAUUGUCUGAUCUCAGACAUAUUCCUCCCCUGGACAACCGAGACCGCAGCCAAGUUCGGCAUUCCUAGGCUCGUUUUCCAUGGGACGAGUGCCUUCUCCAUGGCGGGGACAGAAUGUGUGAGGCUCUAUCAGCCUCACAAGAAGGUGUCCUGCGAUUCAGAGCCCUUCAUCAUCCCCAACUUCCCCGGAGAAAUCACAUUAUGCAGGAUGCAAAUGCAGGACUUUGUCAAUGAAGAGAACGAGUUAACCAAGUUCGUCAACGUGAUGAAGGAUUCGGAGAAGACUUGCUUUGGAGUCGUCAUGAACAGCUUCUACGAGCUCGAGCCGGCUUACGCUGACCAUUACAGGACAUUCCUCGGGAUACGAUCCUGGUUUGUCGGCCCGCUUUCGCUGUGCAAUAAGGAGACUGAGGACAAAGCACAUAGAGGCAACGAAGCAUCCAUUGUCCAGCACAAGUGCCUCAAGUGGCUUGACUCGAAGUAACCCACCUCAGUGAUCUACAUUUGCUUCGGAAGCAUGACGAAUUUCAAUGCUGCUCAGCUCCACGAGAUCGCUGUCGGACUAGAAGCAUCAGGGCAACAGUUCAUCUGGGUGGUAAAGAAGGACCCUAAUGCGGAAGAGGGCAAAGAAGAGUGGUUGCCUGAUGGGUACGAAUCAAGAAUCCGAAACAAGGGCCUCAUCAUCAGGGGCUGGGCUCCUCAGGCGCUGAUUCUCGAUCAUGAGGCGACUGGGGGGUUUGUGACACAUUGCGGGUGGAACUCAAUCCUGGAGGCGGUCGCAGCCGGUGUGCCAAUGGUGACAUGGCCGGUUGCAGCAGAGCAAUUCUACAAUGAGAAGCUCGUGACCCAAGUGCUCAAGAUUGGGGUCGACAUUGGGGUGAAGCAGGGGGUCAUCCCGUUUGGCGACAGCGUGAAAAGCGAGAGAGUGGAGGAGGCAGUGAAGAGAGUCCUGGUGGGUGAGGAAGCAGAGGAAAUAAGAAGGAGAGCGAAAGCACUUGCAGAGAUGGCGAGAGGAGCCGUGGAAGAAGGUGGGUCUUCUUGGUCUGAUUUGGGUGCUCUGAUUCAAGAGCUCAAAUCGCACAGAUUGGCUCACACUAAGAAGAUCUGAUUCAUGACCUGGAGCAAUCAAUCUUGAACUUUUGCUUCAAGAGAAUACAACUGAAGAAAUGGAAGUCUUCUUUUCUGUUUCUGUUGUGGUUUCGCAGUAGAGAGAAAUGCUGGAUUUGCUGCUUCUUUUCAUGGGAUUUAUUCCAGCAAUGUUAUGAUCAUUUAAUGUGUAGGAUGUGAGUUCGUUUAUUUAGCUCUCGAAUUCUUUUGUGCCGAUGAAAUUAAAGUCCGUCUCCUGGUUUACAAUCUCAA